CUGGGUCCUUCCGGCGUCUGCUCGUCUGCUGCCCGGAGAGUUGCGUUCGCUGUGAGCAAUCGUUCUCGUGCUUUGUCGGUUUCGAUACGCAGCGCAUUUCAACUCUCUGGAAGUGUCAAUUGUUCAGUAGCCUCGAAAGGCACAUUUUCUGCAAUGGUGGGGAGCAAAUGUUGCUUCAUCCAUUGCGAGAACAAGUGGCGAAAUACGACAGGUGUGUCAUUUUUCGGGUUUCCGAAGGAGGAGUGCCUCAGGCAGUUGUGGAUCUCGAAAGUACGCCGCCCCGGGUGGACGCUUUAUAAGAAUAGUAAACUGUGUUCGGACCAUUUCACUGAGGACUGCUUUGAGCUCGGCAGCAGACUUAAACAAGAGUUCGGUCUAUCGCGUCCCGGAAAGCGGCCGGCCCUUACACUGAAGUGCGAUGCCAUACCCACGAUUUUCAACGACCGUGAGGGAGCUAUGGCCAUUGAAGCAAGUUUGUCACCUCAGGAAGGCUGUGAGGAACGAAGAGAUCGCGCUGCCGACAGUUCCGAGGAGGCCAUGCCACUCGCAGAAGCACCUCCUGAGGCACCCAGUACUUCCCCUGCCCGUGAGGCUGUGCCAUCAG